UCAGUAGCGAACGGGUGAGUACAUGUAGAACCUCCUUAGGAGAGGAAUACUACUGGAAACGGUGGCUAAAACCUCAUAAGCUGCGGAGUAAAAAGUGAAAACUGCCUAAAGAUGGGCUUGCAUCUGAUUAGCUUGUUGGUGAAUCAAUUGUUUACCAAAGCAACGAUCAGUAGUUGGUCUACGAGGAUGAUCAACCACACUGGGACUGAGACACGGACCAGACCUCUACGGAGGGCAGCAGUGAGGAAUUUUCCGCAAUGGGCGAAAGCCUGACGGAGCAAUGCCGCGUGGAUGAUGAACGCUUUUGAGUCGUAAAGUUCUUUUCUUAGCGAAGAAAAUAGACGGUAGCUGAGGAAUAAGCAUCGGCUAAUUCCGUGCCAGCAGCCGCGGUAAUACGGAAGAUGCAAGCGUCAUUCGGAAUUAUUGGGCGUAAAGCGUCUGUAGGUGGCUUAUCAAGUCUCCUGUAACCCCCCA
rnacentral:rRNA from 1 species